UACGAAGGGGGCUAGCGUUGCUCGGAAUCACUGGGCGUAAAGCGCACGUAGGCGGAUCUUUAAGUCAGGGGUGAAAUCCUGGAGCUCAACUCCAGAACUGCCUUUGAUACUGGGGAUCUCGAGUCCGGGAGAGGUGAGUGGAACUGCGAGUGUAGAGGUGAAAUUCGUAGAUAUUCGCAAGAACACCAGUGGCGAAGGCGGCUCACUGGCCCGGUACUGACGCUGAGGUGCGAAAGCGUGGGGGGCAAACAGG
rnacentral:rRNA from 1 species